rnacentral:rRNA from 1 species
AGAGUUUGAUCCUGGCUCAGGACGAACGCUGGCGGCGUGCCUAACACAUGCAAGUCGAGCGAGGAAGAGGAGAUAGCUUGCUAACUCCUGUUUCUAGCGGCGGACGGGUGAGUAACGCGUGAGCAACCUGCCUUUAUCAGGGGGAUAACGCAUCGAAAGAUGUGCUAAUACCGCGUAAGACCACAGCCUCACAUGGGGCAGGGGUCAAAGGAGCAAUCCGGAUAAAGAUGGGCUCGCGUCCGAUUAGCUAGUUGGUGAGAUAACAGCCCACCAAGGCGACGAUCGGUAGCCGACCUGAGAGGGUGAUCGGCCACAUUGGAACUGAGACACGGUCCAGACUCCUACGGGAGGCAGCAGUGGGGAAUAUUGGGCAAUGGGCGAAAGCCUGACCCAGCAACGCCGCGUGAGGGAAGAAGGGUUUCGGCUCGUAAACCUCUGUCCUAUGGGACGAAGGAAGUGACGGUACCAUAGGAGGAAGCCCCGGCUAACUACGUGCCAGCAGCCGCGGUAAUACGUAGGGGGCGAGCGUUGUCCGGAAUGAUUGGGCGUAAAGGGCGCGUAGGCGGCCUGCUAAGUCUGGAGUGAAAGUCCUGCUUUCAAGGUGGGAAGUGCUUUGGAUACUGGUGGGCUGGAGUGCAGGAGAGGAAAGCGGAAUUACCGGUGUAGCGGUGAAAUGCGUAGAGAUCGGUAGGAACACCAGUGGCGAAGGCGGCUUUCUGGACUGAAACUGACGCUGAGGCGCGAAAGCGUGGGGAGCAAACAGGAUUAGAUACCCUGGUAGUCCACGCGGUAAACGAUGAAUGCUAGGUGUAGGAGGUAUCGACCCCUUCUGUGCCGCAGUAAACACAAUAAGCAUUCCGCCUGGGGAGUACGGCCGCAAGGUUGAAACUCAAAGGA